UCUCGAAAUGGUCAAGAGGCAGUUUCAACUUCCAAUUCCUAAGAUGAAUUACUGCAUUCUCUGGUGGAGCUGUUCCUCUCCUAGACACAGGGAGCCCCAAACUGCCAAGUCCAAGAUCAGGCACAGGUGGCAGCAAACAUUCUUCCAGCGAGAGGCCACUCCUCUUCAUUUUUUGGUUCUCAGCUUGCUCAUUCUGUCCACAGGAAGACCACACACUUGGCCAUUAGUAUAAAGCGUAUAUUGCAUCCUGGCCAGGAGCAAGUCAUUAACUGCUUCUUAAAUGGAUAGAAGUUGUUCACAGAAAAGAAUAUGAGUUCACUCUGCCACCAACACCUGCUGCCAUGAGCCCAAAGAAGUGGGAGGAGAGAGUUUUCUGGAGCCCAGAAGACAGCUAGCUGCCUCGAAAGGUGAAAGGGCACAGCCAGACUGCAACAUCCUACAGGGACGAAUCUAGAGGGUAAGAGACCCUGCUGACGUUGUGCAUACAGGCCAGCCCCCUGCAGCCCAAAGAGGUGGAUGGGGGUAAAGACUUGACCUGGGUGGGCAGAUGAAAGACAGCGGUGCAGCCACUUUUCCCCAAAGGGAGUCAGGAGCAGACAGCUUUAGUCCUUCCAGGCCUUGAAGAAGGAGAGGUUUGCCCAGGAGCAGAUCACAGGGGGCACCUCGGGAGAAAGGAGCGACACAAGCAGAUGUGCAGAGACCAGAGUGCGGCAGGUACAUCCAGAUGUUGGCUGCGUGCCUAGAAAGAAGGUCAGGGUCAACACACACUGCUCAUGCGCUG